UACGUGAGGGUGCAAGCGUUAAUCGGAAUUACUGGGCGUAAAGCGUGCGCAGGCGGUUUUGUAAGUCUGUCGUGAAAGCCCCGGGCUCAACCUGGGAAUUGCGAUGGAGACUGCAAGGCUUGAAUCUGGCAGAGGGGGGUAGAAUUCCACGUGUAGCAGUGAAAUGCGUAGAGAUGUGGAGGAACACCGAUGGCGAAGGCAGCCCCCUGGGUCAAGAUUGACGCUCGAUGCACGAAAGCGUGGGGAGCAAACAGG
rnacentral:rRNA from 1 species